rnacentral:tRNA from 1 species
GACCGAGUAGCCCAACCGGAAGAGGCAGCUGUCUCAGAAGCAGCACAGUAGGGGUUCAAAUCCCCUCUUGGUCACCA